rnacentral:rRNA from 1 species
AGUAGGGCAUAGCCCGCGAAAGUCGGAUUAAUACCCUAUGUUAUCCGAAGAUGACAUCUGACUUGGAUUAAAGAUUAAUCGCUAAGGGAUGGGGAUGCGUCCGAUUAGGUAGUCGGCGGGGUAACGGCCCACCGAGCCUUCGAUCGGUAGGGGUUCUGAGAGGAAGGUCCCCCACACUGGUACUGAGACACGGACCAGACUCCUACGGGAGGCAGCAGUGAGGAAUAUUGGUCAAUGGACGGGAGUCUGAACCAGACCCAAGUAGCGUGCAGGACGACCGGCCCUAGUGGGUUGUAAACUGUCUUUUAGUACGGGGAUAAAGUCGCCCACGUGUGGGUGUUUGUAGGUACCGUAUGAAUAAGGGCCGGCUAAUUCCGUGCCAGCCGCCGC